AGCGAACGCUGGCGGCAGGCCUAACACAUGCAAGUCGAACGAAGUCUUCGGACUUAGUGGCGGACGGGUGGGUAACACGUGGGAACGUGCCUUUAGGUUCGGAAUAACUCAGGGAAACUUGUGCUAAUACCGAAUGUGCCCUUCGGGGGAAAGAUUUAUCGCCUUUAGAGCGGCCCGCGUCUGAUUAACUAGUUGGUGAGGUAAAGGCUCACCAAGGCUACGAUCAGUAGCUGGUCUGAGAGGAUGACCAGCCACAUUGGGACUGAGACACGGCCCAAACUCCUACGGGAGGCAGCAGUGGGGAAUCUUGCGCAAUGGGCGAAAGCCUGACGCAGCCAUGCCGCGUGGAUGAUGAAGGUCUUAGGAUUGUAAAAUCCUUUCACCGGUGAAGAUAAUGACUGUAGCCGGAGAAGAAGCCCCGGCUAACUUCGUGCCAGCCGCCGCAGUAACAC
rnacentral:rRNA from 1 species